rnacentral:rRNA from 1 species
AACGAACGCUGGCGGCAUGCCUAACACAUGCAAGUCGAGCGGGCGUAGCAAUACGUCAGCGGCAGACGGGUGAGUAACGCGUGGGAACGUACCUUUUGGUUCGGAACAACACAGGGAAACUUGUGCUAAUACCGGAUAAGCCCUUACGGGGAAAGAUUUAUCGCCGAAAGAUCGGCCCGCGUCUGAUUAGCUAGUUGGUGAGGUAACGGCUCACCAAGGCGACGAUCAGUAGCUGGUCUGAGAGGAUGAUCAGCCACAUUGGGACUGAGACACGGCCCAAACUCCUACGGGAGGCAGCAGUGGGGAAUAUUGGACAAUGGGCGCAAGCCUGAUCCAGCCAUGCCGCGUGAGUGAUGAAGGCCCUAGGGUUGUAAAGCUCUUUUGUGCGGGAAGAUAAUGACGGUACCGCAAGAAUAAGCCCCGGCUAACUCCGUGCCAGCAGCCGCGGUAAU